ACUCUAAGGAGGCGUAGAAGAGUGGUGGGAUAGUAGAAUUACGGGGCGCUAUCGGGGUCAAGUUUGGUCACCCAGUUCUCAAAGAGGGUUGCCUGAUGCGAACGCGGGGAAGGGGUUCGAGGAGGCAAAGUCUGAUUGGACUAAUACCGAGAGGUUGAAGAAGAUUUAAGGAAUUGAAAACUGGAGAAGCUAAAGAACAUGGCUGGGAUGGGGUUACGAACUUGAACCAAAUUGACUUUGAAGUGCGUUAUCAGCUGCACAACCUGUUUUCCCAAGUGGAUAUAAAUGUGCGUCUGACCUCCGAUUCGUGUUGAAAUUGUGGUCUGGUUGGAUGUACAUAUGGUACCGCUCUGGCUGGCCUGUAGCCAAUGGAUCAAAGGUGCAAAACAAGACUGGAUUCCUGCUUGACGAGGAGCCACACCAGUGUUCAAGCCCAUACAAUGAAUGAUCUGUUAGCAUCCUUAAUGCUUGGGAUGUCGUUACCCCUUUGUAUUCAGCCUUUGCUUGUUUGCUUUCUCCCUGCUCCCUUCAUUAUUAGUAGUAAGUAAAUUCUCUUUCAAAUUGUGCA